rnacentral:rRNA from 1 species
CCUACGGGUGGCAGCAGUAAGGAAUAUUGGUCAAUGGACGAGAGUCUGAACCAGCCAAGUAGCGUGAAGGAUGACUGCCCUAUGGGUUGUAAACUUCUUUUAUAUGGGAAUAAAAUGUUCCACGUGUGGGAUUUUGUAUGUACCAUAUGAAUAAGGAUCGGCUAACUCCGUGCCAGCAGCCGCGGUAAUACGGAGGAUCCGAGCGUUAUCCGGCUUUAUUGGGUUUAAAGGGAGCGUAGGUGGAUUGUUAAGUCAGGUGUGAAAGUUUGCGGCUCAACCGUAAAAUUGCAGUUGAAACUGGGAGUCUUGAGGACAGGAGAGGUGGGCGGAAUUCGUGGUGUAGCGGUGAAAUGCUUAGAUAUCACGAAGAACUCCGAUUGCGAAGGCAGCUCACUGGACUGCAACUGACACUGAGGCUCGAAAGUGUGGGUAUCAAACAGGAUUAGAUACCCUUGUAGUC